rnacentral:lncRNA from 1 species
AAGUCUUCCUUGGCGUCGUGGACGGAACCCGGCUCCCGUAGGAGUCCGGGCCUUCCCCUUUGCUCGAGCCAGGGCGAGGUUCUCCUCCCAUUCCCGGCUUGGCUGUGGGGGCGCGUUAGGGCGCUGUAAGGCCUCUCCCCCCAUCCGGUCUAAAAGAACCGGGCCUUCGACUUUGCUCAUGUCAGGAGGAGGUUCUCCUCCUGUUCCUGACAUGGCUGUGGGGGCGCAUUAGGGCGUUGUAAGGCCUCUCCCCCCAUCCGGUCUAAAAGACCGGGCCUUUGACUUUGCUCAUGUC